rnacentral:rRNA from 1 species
CCUACGGGAGGCAGCAGCAAGGAAUUUUCGUCAAUGGGCUAACGCCUGAACGAGCAACGCCGCGUGCAGGAUGACGGCCUUCGGGUUGUAAACUGCUUUUGCGGGGGAUGAGACAGACAGUACCCCGCGAAUCAGGCUCGGCUAACUCUGUGCCAGCAGCCGCGGUAAU